UGGGCGCCGUCACAGUCCCCAGACGCCCUGGACUCCUGCAGUCUACGAAGACGCGCGGCGGACGGCGUGGUUCCGAGAGAGGGCGCCAAAGGCGACGUGCCGGCGGCCAGCUCCAGGCCGAGCCCCGAGCGCCUGCAGGAACAGGCCCCUUCACCCGGCGCGGGACGCAGAGCUGCGAGAGAAUCUUGUUCAGCGCGGACUCAACGCCAGGGCGCCGCCUAGAGGUUGGUCUCUGUCUCGGCCUCACCCGCCGGGAGACCACAGAGCUGCUUCCCCAGCCGCCCGCCGCCGGAAAUUGGAAAAAAAAAAAAAAAAAUCCAGCUGGGGUCUAGGAACUCGGCUUCUGGCACCUCUGAAUUCUCCGAGACUGUCUCCUCCCUCCCCGCCCGUAAUGAACCCUGUGAAGGGAGACAGGCCAGGAAGUCCCAGAAAUAUUUAUUCUUGUGACUCUCACAAAAUGGAAAAGGGUCUCAAUUUUUGUUUCUUUAAGGAUCUUGUGUUCUGCGUCUGUGUCUACACUGCCUCCUCUCACCAACCAAAUUGUCUAGCCCCACUCCAGUUACGCUAGAACUCUGCUUUAUCUUCAAGGAAGAAAGGGAGUGGGGAGAAGUUACCUCUAAACCCUCCAGCAUGGCCAUCAAUUUUCUGAAUAAUUUGGAGGUCAACAUGCUUUUGGAAAAGUGUUUGGAAAACGUUUGGGGGUGAAAAGAAAUGUUGCCUAACUGGCCUUUACUCACGGAAUGACCAUCAUCUCAGCUAGUUAGUGUAUGAGCGGCACCAGCACCCCGGCCAUGGGUGUCUGUGCUGAGCCUCUGAAAGUUGACUUAUCCUUUGGGGAGCCCUCGGAAAGACACAGCUGGUAUCUAUGGGAAUGGCUUUGGGGUGUCCUUUGGCACCAUACAGAUAAUUUUGUUUUUUUAAUUGGAAUCCAUGGCCUGGGUUCUUGGGAUGGGGGUGGGGGAAGCCACAAAGCCCCUGGAAAUGUAUGCAAAACAUAUGGGUGUGCAGGUGCAUCAUCCUAAGGCUAUGGCCU
rnacentral:lncRNA from 1 species